rnacentral:rRNA from 1 species
AGUGGCGCACGGGUGAGUAACGCGUAGGUAAUCUGCCCUUAGGUCAGGGAUAGCCCUACGAAAGUAGGAUUAAUACCUGAUAAUAUGGUGACAUCAAAGGAUUUAUUCGCCUAAGGAUGAGCCUGCGUUAGAUUAGCUUGUUGGUGAGGUAAUGGCUCACCAAGGCUACGAUCUAUAGCCGAGUUGAGAGGCUGAUCGGCCACAUUGGAACUGAGACACGGUCCAGACUCCUACGGGAGGCAGCAGCUAAGAAUCUUCCGCAAUGGGCGAAAGCCUGACGGAGCGACGCCGCGUGAAUGAUGAAGGCCUUUUGGGUUGUAAAAUUCUUUUAUUGGAGACGAAUGUCUGAUGUAGGUCAGGCUGACUGUAUCCGGUGAAUAAGGUCCGGCUAACUACGUGCCAGCAGCCGCGGUAAUACGUAGGGACCAAGCGUUGUUCGGAAUUAUUGGGCGUAAAGGGUACGUAGGCGGCAUGAUAAGUCAGAUGUGAAAUCCUCGGGCUCAACCUGAGGCUUGCGUCUGAUACUGUUGUGCUAGAGUUACUGAGAGGAAGACGGAAUUCCUGGUGUAGGGGUGAAAUCUAUAGAUAUCAGGAAGAACAUCUAUUGCGAAGGCAGUCUUCUGGCAGCUAACUGACGCUGAUGUACGAAAGUUAGGGUAGCAAACAGGAUUAGAGACCCUGGUAGUCCUAACCGUAAACGUUGUAUACUAGGUGGUUGAAGUAUUGAUCCUUUGACUGCCGCAGCUAACGCAUUAAGUAUACCGCCUGGGGAGUAUGCCGGCAACGGUGAAACUCAAAGGAAUUGACGGGGGCCCGCACAAGCAGUGGAGCAUGUUGUUUAAUUCGAAGAUACGCGAGAAACCUUACCAGGUCUUGACAUAUACCUGAAUGAUGUAGAAAUACAUCAGCCUUCGGGCAGGUAUACAGGUGCUGCAUGGUUGUCGUCAGCUCGUGCCGUGAGGUGUUGGGUUAAGUCCCGCAACGAGCGCAACCCUUAUUCUUUGUUGCUAACAGGUAGUGCUGAGCACUCUAAGAAGACUGCCGGUGACAAACCGGAGGAAGGUGGGGAUGACGUCAAAUCAUCACGGCCCUUAUGACCUGGGCUACAAACGUGCUACAAUGGGCGGUACAGAGAGUUGCGAUACUGCGAAGUGGAGCUAAUCUCAAAAAACCGUCCUCAGUUCGGAUUGGAGUCUGAAACUCGACUCUAUGAAGCUGGAAUUGCUAGUAAUCGCACAUCAUCAUGGUGCGGUGAAUAUGUUCCCGGGCAUUGUACACACCGCCCGUCACAUCACCCGAGUUGAUUAUACCCGA